GCGGCUGUUGUAGAAGAUUCUGUGGCGGCUGAUAUUGUGACUGAUUUGGUGGUGGCAGUGAUGGCUGAGAUGUUGGCAGUAUUGAUUCUGGCAUAUUUGAUGGCGGCUGUGGCAGCGUCGAUGUAGGUAAUGCGGACAGCGACGUCGACGUCAUUUGAUUGGCUAACUGCGUUUCCACUUGUUUGGCAGUAUUAACAAGUUGUGCUUGCAUCUUCUUCGUUGAUGCAAAUUUCUGCACCAAAGGUCUCUGGACGGCUGCUAGACACUCUCAAAUACGCAUCCGAGGGGACUUCACAGAUAAAGGACACACACACAAAUUGGGCUCCCACCAGUAGGAUCACCGUCGCACCGCAAGACAGCUCUAUGAUUAGCUCGGAAGAUUGGAGCACAAUGGACGACUUUGCAGCAAUAAAAUUAUCGCACUGACCCCCUUUUAGCUUUGGAUGGCCAGUGCUAUUUGCCAAACUACAGGAAUCAAUUUCUAGUACACAAAAGAAACGACAACAAUCAAAAAUCUACUUAAAAUAUUAUGAUACAAGCCACAGUUCACUCACAUUUCUAUGUAACACAACAUGAAAAAAUAAAAAUUUGCUUUUAAA
rnacentral:sRNA from 1 species